rnacentral:misc_RNA from 1 species
CUUUCAGGCAAAUAUUAUUUAUUAUAGCAGAAUUAGGAGAACAAUAUUUACACAUAUUUCUUGCAAUACAGAUUCUCCCACAUCGAAUAUCAUCAUCACCUGCUAUAAAUUACUGUACAAGAGAUUUUGCAAGUUGCUCCUUCUAAUUUUUGAUGUGAAGAAAGGGAAUUGAUUUCGCCAUGUUGACUACUGGUGUGUACUUAUUUAAAAAUCUACCCUUUUUAUAUGUGAGUAAAUAAAAGGCCUUCAAGACUCAAUCGGAAGUCCACUCUCUGUCCACGCAGCAUAUCCACCAGCAAUGUCAGUCACCCCAGUAAAUCCAGCAGCAAGAAGUUCAGUUGCAGCCAUAAAUGAUCUCUUACCCAACUGGCAUCCAACUAUAAUCUCAUCAUCCUUCCCGAAUUGUUCCAACACUUCCUCCAAGAAAUUGGGGUUCUUUAUCAUCCCUGAGCCAAUUCUAAGCAUGUAAGGAAUGUUUAUGGCUCCAGCAGCAUGCCCAUCAUUGUACUCCUCAGUAGUUCUGACAUCUAAAUAACGAUGGCCAGCUUGAAGCAAUUCAAGUGCAACUCGAACAGGAACAGAAGUAGGAACCGUGGAGUUGUGCACUUUCUCUCCAACUGUUGCCAUCCAGCUAAAACUUGGAUUUCUAUUGCUAGUACCAAUGUCACGUCUUAUUUUAGGCUGAAAUUGAGACCUCGCCAUUGGAAUCAACGAAACCGAUCUAUUGAUCCUGCUUUGUGCCAAAUUCUUGGUACCAUGGAACUCAACAAGUGAAAAUGAGGUUGAAUGAAGGGAAAUAGUUCUCAUGAUUGUUUGUUCCUGUGGAAGUUGUUCAAUUAUUUUGUUUGAUGGUGAGAAAUGAAAGGGAGAUUGAUAUUUAUGGGUGAAGACAGGAG